UGGUGGCACCAACCGGGACUAAAGGGGGGCAUUGGUCCCGGUUGGUGCCACGAACCGGUACCAAAGCACCCCUUUAGUCCCGGUUGGUGCCACCAA
rnacentral:pre_miRNA from 1 species